rnacentral:rRNA from 1 species
UACAGAGACUGCAAGCGUUUAUUCGGAUUCACUGGGCGUAAAGGGUGCGCAGGCGGCCGGGUGUGUCAGAUGUGAAAUCCCGAGGCUCAACCUCGGAACUGCGUCUGAAACUACUCGGCUAGAGUACUGGAGAGGGUAACGGAAUUCACGGUGUAGCAGUGAAAUGCGUAGAUAUCGUGAGGAACACCAGAGGCGAAGGCGGUUACCUGGACAGUUACUGACGCUCAGGCACGAAAGCGUGGGGAGCAAAAGGG